rnacentral:lncRNA from 1 species
UAAAAAUAUAAAAAUUAGCCAGACCUGGUGAGGCAUGCCUGUAAUCCCAGCUACUCGGGAGGCUGAGGCAGGAGAAUCGCUUGAACCCGGGAACCAGAGGUUGCAGUGAGCUGAGAUUGUACCACUGCACUCACUCCAGCUGGUGUGACAAAUCUCCCUCUGAUGCCGAGCGGAAGCUGGACUGUACUGCUGCCAUCUCGGCUCACUGCAACCUCCCUGCCUGAUUCUCCUGCCUCAGCCUGCCGAGUGCCUGCGAUUGCAGGCGCGCGCAGCCACACCUGACUGGUUUUCGUAUUUUUUUGGUGGAGACGGGGUUUCGCUGUGUUGGCCGGGCUGGUCUCCAGCUCCUAACCGCAAGUGAUCUGCCAGCCUCGGCCUCCCGAGGUGCCGGGAUUGCAGACGGAGUCUGGUUCACUCAGUGCUCAAUGGUGCCCAGGCUGGAGUGCAGUGGCGUGAUCUCGGCUCGCUACAACCUCCACCUCCCAGCCGCCUGCCUUGGCCUCCCAAAGUGCCGAGAUUGCAGCCUCUGCCCGGCCGCCACCCCGUCUGGGAAGUGAGGAGCAUCUCUGCCUGGCCGCCCAUCGUCUGGGAGGUGAGGAGCCCCUCUGCCUGGCUGCCCAGUCUGGAAAGUGAGGAGCGUCUCUGCCCGGCCGCCAUCCCAUCUAGGAAGUGAGGAGCGCCUCUUCCCGGCCGCCAUCCCAUCUAGGAAGUGAGGAGCGUCUCUGCCCCGCUGCCCCGUCUGGGAUGUGAGGAGCGCCUCUGCCCGGCCGCGACCCCGUCUGGGAGGUGAGGAGCAUCUCUGCCCGGCCGCCCCGUCUGAGAAGUGAGGAGACCCUCCGCCUGGCAACCGCCCCGUCUGAGAAGUGAGGAGCCCCUCCGCCCAGCAGCCGCCCCGUCUGAGAAGUGAGGAGCCCCUCCGCCCGGCAGCCACACCGUCUGGGAAGUGAGGAGCGUCUCUGCCCGGCAGCCACCCCGUCCGGGAGGGAGGUGGGGGUCAGCCCCCGCCAGGCCAGCCGCCCCAUCCGGGAGGUGAGGGGUGCCUCUGCCCAGCCGCCCCUACUGGGAAGUGAGGAGCCCCUCUGCCCGGCCAUCCGCCCCAUCCAGGAGGGAGGUGGGGGGGUCAGUCCCCCG